rnacentral:tRNA from 1 species
UUAAUUGAAGCCAAAAGCUAGAGGUAACUUAUUGUUAAUAAGAAAAUUGAAUAAAUAUUCCAAUUAAA